AUUGAACGCUGGCGGCAGGCCUAACACAUGCAAGUCGAGCGGAUGAAGGGAGCUGGCUCCUUUAUUCAGCGGCGGACGGGCGAGUAAUUCCUAGGAAUCUGCCUGUUAGUGGGGAGUAACGUCCGGAAACGGGCGCUGAUACCACAUACUUCCUGAGAGUGAAAGUGUGGGAUCUUCUGUCCUCACGCUAUCAGAUGAGCCUAGGUCGGAUUUGCGAGUUGGUUGGGUAAAGGCCUACCAAGGCGACGAUCCGUCCCUGGUCUGAGAGGCUGAUCAGCCAAACUGGAACUGAGACAAGGUCCAGACUCCUACGGGAGGCAGCAGUGGGGAAUAUUGGACAACGGGCGAAAGCCUGAUACAGCCAUGCCGCGUGUGUGAAGAAGGUCUUCGGAUCGUAAAGCACUCUCAGUUGGGAGGAACGGCAGUAAGUUAAUACCUUGCUGUUUUGACGUUACCAAAAGACUAAGCCCCGGCUAACUUCGUG
rnacentral:rRNA from 1 species